GAUGAACGCUGGCGGUGUGCCUAAUACAUGCAAGUCGAGCGAACAGACGAGGAGCUUACUCCUCUGACGUUAGCGGCGGACGGGUGAGUAACACGUGGAUAACCUACCUAUAAGACUGGGAUAACUUCGGGAAACCGGAGCUAAUACCGGAUAACAUGUUGAACCGCAUGGUUCAACAGUGAAAGACGGUCUUGCUGUCACUUAUAGAUGGAUCCGCGUCGCAUUAGCUAGUUGGUAAGGUAACGGCUUACCAAGGCAACGAUGCGUAGCCGACCUGAGAGGGUGAUCGGCCACACUGGAACUGAGACACGGUCCAGACUCCUACGGGAGGCAGCAGUAGGGAAUCUUCCGCAAUGGGCGAAAGCCUGACGGAGCAACGCCGCGUGGGUGAAGAAGGUCUUCGGAUCGUAAAACUCUGUUAUUAGGGAAGAACAAAUGUGUAAGUAACUAUGCACGUCUUGACGGUACCUAAUCAGAAAGCCACGGCUAACUACGUG
rnacentral:rRNA from 1 species